ACACAUACCACCAUAUAUGGAAUACAACAAUAACACAAUAAUUAGUAAAUGAUAUUAUUUAUAACAAAUCGAUUUAGGAAAUCAAUUAACAAAAUAUUUAACAUGGUAACAUCUACUCGGAACGCGAGUCUAUCUGUCAAAUCAAUACGUCAUUCAAAUUGUUUUCGUGCCGGUUGUUAUGUUAUGCGUAGAGUUGAAUUUAUUCCUCCGUAUUUGCUUCUGAUCGUUACAAUUUGCGUAAAAACUGUCGAGCUGAUCGUUUUCGUGCCUCCAGUGUUUUUUUUUUUAGAUAUUGGACUCUUUUCUUAGUGAUGAUAAGUGAGCACAUUGACUCGUGAGCAUUGGACUCUUGUUUUUAGUGAUAUUGUUGUUUUACUCCGGAAAAAUGUCUGCACCUGGUAGAAGUCGAGUAAACUACUCUUUGUGUCGCCGGUGUGUUAAUUGCUCUUUACGUAUAGCGCCUAAUCUUCGUAGACGUUAAUUGUAGAAAUAGAUGAACCAAUGCUUAUCCUUCUAAGAUCCUGGGUAACACCUACAUUGAUAUCUUCUGAUGACAUCCUGUGUGUGAAAUGUUUUGUAUUAUUACAAAACCAGAUAGCAUCUAACUCAAAUCUGUCACUUGUAUCCCCUGCUCGUGGACACCUAAACAUAUGCUACGCAUGUGGCUUGUCAAUAGCAAGUCGCAGAACUCAUAGAGUCAGUCAAGAUUGUCCUCAAAGGAAUGUUAUACUAAGAUGGACACAAGCACAUCAUGUGUUGCAUUUGGAACGAGUUUGUCUUCCUUGUUGGGCGGCUGCAUCAAGACAAGUCCGGAGGCAACCCGUUGCUGGCAGUAGCCAACACACUGCUGCACCGGAGACUGGUAUCAUGGAUGGAAACAUAAUUACAGAUAUGAUGAUUCCUGUACCACCACCACUGCCACCGCUUUAAUGAUAUAAGCGUUCCAGCACAAUUUCUAGACAACAUAUUCCUUGAAGAAUAAAUAUCUAUUAUUUUAA